AUACGUAGGGGGCGAGCGUUGUCCGGAAUGAUUGGGCGUAAAGGGCGCGUAGGCGGCCCGGUAAGUCUGGAGUGAAAGUCCUGUUUUUAAGAUGGGAAUUGCUUUGGAUACUGUCGGGCUUGAGUGCAGGAGAGGGAAGUGGAAUUCCCAGUGUAGCGGUGAAAUGCGUAGAGAUUGGGAGGAACACCAGUGGCGAAGGCGACUUACUGGACUGUAACUGACGCUGAGGCGCGAAAGUGUGGGGAGCAAACAGGAUUAGAUACCCUGGUAGUCCACACUGUAAACGAUGAAUGCUAGGUGUAGGGGGUAUCGACCCCUUCUGUGCCGCAGUCAACACAAUAAGCAUUCCGCCUGGGGAGUACGGCCGCAAGGUUGAAACUCAAAUGAAUUGACGGGG
rnacentral:rRNA from 1 species